rnacentral:rRNA from 1 species
CCUACGGGGGGCAGCAGUAGGGAAUAUUGCGCAAUGGGGGAAACCCUGACGCAGCAACGCCGCGUGAGUGAGGAAGGUCUUCGGAUUGUAAAACUCUUUUAUUUGGGAAAUGGUACCAAAGGAAUAAGCACCGGCUAACUUCGUGCCAGCAGCCGCGGAAAUACGAAGGGUGCAAGCGUUGUUCGGAAUCAUUGGGCGUAAAGCGCGCGCAGGCGGAUUGGUAAGUCAGAUGUGAAAUCUCGGGGCUCAACCUCGAAACGGCGUCUGAAACUGGAAGGCUAGAGUGUGGGAGGGGGUAGGGGAAUUUCACGUGUAGGGGUAAAAUGCGUAGAGAUGGGAAGGAACACCGGAGGCGAAGGCGCCUACCUGGACGACACUGACGCUGAGGCGCGAAAGCGUGGGGAGCAAACAGGAUUAGAUACCCGGGUAGUC